AAAUCACGCACAAAACACACACAGAGUAUCCGUCACUGCAAUUACAUAAACGAUUGAGAGCACUGAGCAGCAGAUGCAGCAGCUAUGGAUUAUGGACAAUUUCAGAAGCACAACAAAGAUCAAAGUGGUGGUCCAAUAGAACCAUGACUUCCCUGAACGACCUAAAAAUCAAUACCCUAUAGAGAGAGUUUGGAGGACAAAAAGAGAACCAAAUUCUUUUACCAAUUGAUUGUCAUUGUCAAUGGGGUGUGCGGUCAAAAGUGUAUUACUUUGGCGUUGUUCGUUUUGCUUAAAAGGGAAGCUUACACAAAUGCCUUGCGUCAUUAUGUUGUGUUCCCAUUAUGUAUGGAUGGGGUGUACCAAAUUGCCAGAGAAUCUACGAAGCUUGAAUUCAACCCUUAUGGGAUCAAAUUCGCAAUGCCAAAACCUGAAAAUUCCAGUCGAGUCAAGCAUUUAUUCAACCAGAUCCAAUAUAAGCCGAGUCCUCCUGUAUGGGGCUUAAUUUGCUUCCGGGAAGAUCCUCGUACGCCUGCGUUUUCAAUCAUUCUGAUCCAUCUGGGGAAAUGGAAUGCUGCUGCCCAUGAUUUGAGGGCCAUUCGAUUUGUGGAUACCGAAUUCCCACCAUGGAUAUCUCCUUUCUCUCGUAGCCCUUUUGCUCCGUCGAAGUUCUUUUCCUUGACAAAAAGCAACCAUCCUUUGAAAUGCAGAUGAGGAAUUGGUGAAAAAGAUUAGGCUGCUAUAUUACUACUGUAGCAGAUUUGUGCUUUUCUGCUUUAUAUUGGUGCAUCCCAAAUGAAUGAUGUGUCGUUGGUGAAAUGAGGGUGAUGGGAAGUAUGAAAUGAUGCUAGGCAUUGACAUUAAUUUAAGGAGCGUUGUAGUGGAUGGAGCAACAUGACAAAAAGUAAGCCAUCUUAAUGAUGGCUACGCUGAUGAGAUAAUUUUAAAUAUCUAUGUCGUCGUGACAAGUAAAGAUAGCAAUGGCGUGCUAAC